AUUAAGGAAAACUUGUAAGGUAGACUUAAAAUUGCGGGGAUUAAUAUAGGGUAUAGAUAGUUUUACUUGUUUGAAGUGGGUCGCGGCGAGAGGAAGUUUUGCCUGUUUGAAGAAAUUAAGCAAAACUUGUCAAGUGGACUUAAAAUUACGGGGAUUAAUAUAGGAUAUAGAUAGGUUUACUUGUUUGAUGUGGGUCACGGCGAGAGGAAGUUUUACCUGUUUGAUGUGGGUCACCGCUGGUUUGGUCGGGGGAGGGAGACGAGGGUACUGCUGUUAACAGGCUAGGGUUUUGCAAAAA
rnacentral:lncRNA from 1 species